AUUGAACGCUGGCGGCAUGCCUUACACAUGCAAGUCGAACGGUAACGGGCCUUCGGGUGCCGACGAGUGGCGAACGGGUGAGUAAUGUAUCGGAACGUACCUUUCAGUGGGGGAUAACGUAGCGAAAGUUACGCUAAUACCGCAUAUUCUGUGAGCAGGAAAGCAGGGGAUCGCAAGACCUUGCGCUGAUUGAGCGGCCGAUAUCAGAUUAGCUAGUUGGUGAGGUAAAGGCUCACCAAGGCGACGAUCUGUAGCGGGUCUGAGAGGAUGAUCCGCACCACUGGAACUGAGACACGGUCCAGACUCCUACGGGAGGCAGCAGUGGGGAAUUUUGGACAAGGGGGGCAACCCUGAUCCAGCCAUGCCGCGUGAGUGAAGAAGGCCUUCGGGUUGUAAAGCUCUUUCGGCCGGGAAGAAAUCGUAUCAGCUAAUACCUGGUGCGGAUGACGGUACCGGCAUAAGAAGCACCGGCUAACUACGUGCCAGCCGCCGCGGUAAUAC
rnacentral:rRNA from 1 species